rnacentral:rRNA from 1 species
UACGUAGGGGGCAAGCGUUGUCCGGAAUCAUUGGGCGUAAAGAGCGUGUAGGCGGUCCGGUAAGUCCGUUGUGAAAGUCAAGGGCUCAACCCUUGAAUGCCGGCGGAUACUGUCGGGCUAGAGUCCGGAAGAGGCGAGUGGAAUUCCCGGUGUAGCGGUGAAAUGCGCAGAUAUCAGGAAGAACACCCGUGGCGAAGGCGGCUCUCUGGGACGGUACUGACGCUGAGACGCGAAAGCGUGGGGAGCGAACAGG